UUGCUUUAGGGAUAAACAACUCCUUGAUAAUUGAAUUCAUUCAUUUCUUAUGAUCAUCAUAGUGUUUGUGUUUUGCUCAUCAUUAUCGAAUGAUACAAUU